UGGGCCCCGCGGUGGCAUUAGCUAGUUGGCAAGGUAAAGGGCUUACCAAGGCGAUGAUGCAUAGCCCGAGUUGAGAGACUGAUCGGGCCACAUUGGGGACUGAGACACGGGCCCAAACUCCUACGGGAGGCAGCAGUAGGGAAUCUUCCACAAUGGACGCAAGUCUGAUGGAGCAAACGCCGCGUGAGUGAAGAAGGUUUUCGGAUCGUAAAAAGCUCUGUUGUUGGUGAAGAAGGAUAGAGGUAGUAACUGGCCCUUUAUUUGACGGUAAUCAACCCAGAAAGUCACGGGCUAACUACGUGCCCAGCAGCCGCGGUAAAU
rnacentral:rRNA from 1 species